rnacentral:rRNA from 1 species
UAGGGAAUCUUCGGCAAUGGACGAAAGUCUGACCGAGCAACGCCGCGUGAGUGAAGAAGGUUUUCGGAUCGUAAAACUCUGUUGUUAGAGAAGAACAAGGACGUUAGUAAGAACGUCCCCUGACGGUAUCUAACCAGAAAGCCACGGCUAACUACGUGCCAGCAGCCGCGGUAAUACGUAGGUGGCAAGCGUUGUCCGGAUUUAUUGGGCGUAAAGCGAGCGCAGGCGGUUUCUUAAGUCUGAUGUGAAAGCCCCCGGCUCAACCGGGGAGGGUCAUUGGAAACUGGGAGACUUGAGUGCAGAAGAGGAGAGUGGAAUUCCAUGUGUAGCGGUGAAAUGCGUAGAUAUAUGGAGGAACACCAGUGGCGAAGGCGGCUCGCUGGUCUGUAACUGACGCUGAGGCUCGAAAGCGUGGGGAGCAAACAGG